rnacentral:rRNA from 1 species
UACGCCCGAUCUCGUCCGAUCUCGGAAACAAAGCAGGGUCUGGCCUGAUUAAUACUUGGAUGGGAGACUGCUUGGGAAUACCAGGUGCUGUAAGCUUGCUUACGGCCAUACCAGCCUG